rnacentral:lncRNA from 10 species
CCGAGGGGAGAGAGGGUGCGCAGACGGCCAGCCGGGCCGCGCCAGGGACAUACUGGAGACAGGAAGUGGCUGAGAGGGGGAGAGAGUUGGAGAGAGACGGCCGCGGAGGACACGGGGACGGGAAAGUCUGAGAGACGGGGAGAGCCUGACCCGGCGGGACACAGGCAGAAAGAAACACGCGAGCCAGACAGACGCAGAAGAAACGUGCCUGGUACUGGAUAGGAACUUCAUGGAAUGGAGCUAAUGGGCCGUAGGGCAGGUUUGAGUCGUGCCACCCUGGAGCAGAAGGUGGAGGGUAGGGAUAAGGGUGGAGAGAAACUAGGAGAAAAGCACAGGAUGUAGAGGUCUAUUCGGCAUAAUCUUCUCCCUCAUUUUCAUCUUCACCAUCAACAGAGAGAGCAGCAUACUUGCUUGCAGAACUGAACUUGGAAGCUGGAUUUUCCUCAGGUUUCUUUGGCUCAGGUGCAGAUCUGGAGUCUUGAUCCUUUUUGCCAUCUUUCCUAUCUGACUCCUUCCAGUGGUCUCUGUUCCCUCCGUCGCCUGGACCACGGCUAGAGUUCCCAGUUUGGCCUUUUGGGGCAUUCAUCCCAUCUACUUUAUUUUCAUCUGCUUGGGCAGUAAUGUAAACAAAUUAAAGGCAAGUAAAAGUAUCAAUGUCCCUCUCCUAAGAUUUCCCUUAAGCUGAAGAAAAUUGUGCCCACAUGUACUGAGGGAAACUAACCUCACCCCAACCCAGACUUCCUUCCUGAAGCCCUUCUUUCCACAUCCUCUACAGCACACAAAAAUACAAAAAACAAACAAAAUCCACUAAAAAGUUCCAUGUAGGGAUAUGCCAUCAUGAAAAGCAAGCUGGAAAUAAAGAUUAUGACGCUCUGUAGUG